rnacentral:rRNA from 1 species
AUUGAACGCUGGCGGCAGGCCUAACACAUGCAAGUCGAACGAGUGGCGGACGGGUGAGUAAUGUCUGGGGAACUGCCCGAUGGAGGGGGAUAACUAAUGGAAACGGUAGCUAAUACCGCAUACCAUCGGAUGAGCCCAUAUGGGAUUAGCUAGUAGGUGGGGUAACGGGUCACCUAGGCGACGAUCCCUAGCAGGUCUGAGAGGAUGACCAGCCACCUUGGAACUGAGACACGGCCCAGACUCCUACGGGAGGCAGCAGUGGGGAAUAUUGCACAAUGGGCGCAAGCCUGAUGCAGCCAUGACGCGUGUAUGAAGAAGGCCUUGGGGUUGUAAAGUACUUUCAGCGAGGAUGCGUUACUCGCAGAAGAAGCACCGGCUAACUCCGUGCCAGCAGCCGCGGUAAUAC